GGGAGAGGAAGUGUGGCUGAAGGGCUGGUUAAUGAAGACACCCUGAAACUAUCGGGAUUGACAGUCUGACAGAAUAAGCACAUCUAAAAGCUGGCAUCACAUAUAUGUGGAGGACAGAUGGGCAAGUUUUAAACAGCCAACUGAAUUUGAGAUAUCUGCUCUUCGCUUCAGCAGCAGCACCAUCAGCAAAAGCUCUCAGUACCUCUUUCUACUAUAUAACCUGAGCCAGCUUAGUUUCCCACCACCCAGAUUCAUCACAUCUCCUGGGAAGCCAGUCAC